rnacentral:rRNA from 1 species
GUCGAACGAGGUGCUUUUGUAGCAAUACGAGAGUAUCCUAGUGGCGAACGGGUGAGUAACGCGUUGGUGACCUACCCCAAAGUGUGGGAUAACAGUCCGAAAGGAUUGCUAAUACCGCAUGUGGUCAUUGGAUUUAGAAACUGAUGACUAAAGGAGCAAUUCGCUUUGGGAGGGACCUGCGUCCCAUCAGCUAGUUGGUGAGGUAACGGCUCACCAAGGCUACGACGGGUAGGGGACCUGAGAGGGUGACCCCCCACAAUGGAACUGAAACACGGUCCAUACACCUACGGGUGGCAGCAGUAGGGAAUAUUGCACAAUGGGCGAAAGCCUGAUGCAGCAACGCCGCGUGUGCGAUGAAGGCCUUCGGGUCGUAAAGCACUUUUCUGAGAGAUGAGAAAGGACAGUAUCUCAGGAAUAAGUCUCGGCUAACUACGUGCCAGCAGCCGCGGUAAAACGUAGGAGGCAAGCGUUAUCCGGAUUCACUGGGCGUAAAGCGCGUGCAGGUGGUUCGGUAAGUUGGGCGUGAAAUCUCCCGGCUCAACUGGGAGAGGUCGUCCAAUACUACCGAACUUGAGAGCAGAAGAGGAAGAUGGAAUUCCCGGUGUAGUGGUGAAAUGCGUAGAUAUCGGGAGGAACACCAGUGGCGAAGGCGAUCUUCUGGUCUGUUUCUGACACUCAGACGCGACAGCUAGGGUAGUAAACGGGAUUAGAGACCCCGGUAAUCCUAGCCGUAAACGAUGUGAACUUGGCGUUGGUGG